rnacentral:rRNA from 1 species
UGGGGAAUCUUGGACAAUGGGCGGAAGCCUGAUCCAGCCAUGCCGCGUGAGUGAAGAAGGCCCUAGGGUCGUAAAGCUCUUUCGCCUGUGAAGAUAAUGACGGUAGCAGGUAAAGAAACCCCGGCUAACUCCGUGCCAGCAGCCGCGGUAAUACGGAGGGGGUUAGCGUUGUUCGGAAUUACUGGGCGUAAAGCGCGCGUAGGCGGGCUGGAAAGUUGGGGGUGAAAUCCCGGGGCUCAACCCCGGAACUGCCUCCAAAACUAUCAGUCUAGAGUUCGAGAGAGGUGAGUGGAAUUCCAAGUGUAGAGGUGAAAUUCGUAGAUAUUUGGAGGAACACCAGUGGCGAAGGCGGCUCACUGGCUCGAUACUGACGCUGAGGUGCGAAAGUGUGGGGAGCAAACAGGAUUAGAUACCCGUGUAGUCC